AUGGUAUGUGGCCUGAGGAGCCAGAAAUAGCUAAUGGAAUGGAGGCUUGGUGUUACUUUGUAUAACAGAAACUGGGAAUUUAAUUCCCGACUGACUGGGGACCAGGAUAUAGGCAAUGGUCAUGUAAUAUAUAGUGAAAAAACCAAAGUGGCUUACUGAGAUGGUACUGACGUUACAUAAUAUAAGGUGCUUAGGAACUGAUAUAUUUGAUUUCAACUUGUAAAGGCAAGCCUAAGCUGAGCUGAUUUGACGGCGACAUAUAAAGUGGGAUGCUGUCUCGUACUGUACUAAAUUCAUUAUCUCUUUUAUUUUAGAAAUAUUGUAUCUGAACAUUUUAUUUUAUGACUGUCAUUUAAUUAAGUAUGUUGAAAUCUUUACAUUAUAUCUUGAUUUGUGUUUAGUUUAAUUGUCAUGUGUACAUAGUACUUAACUGUUUCUUCUCUUUGAACUCAUGCAUUAUCACGCAACAUCUACAGCACGUGCAACACAGCACAUUUUAGGGUCUGGGGGCCACAUAAGUACAAAUAUCUCCUUUAAUAAUCAAACAGAUGUCACCACCCUCCUUAUAUUAUUAAUCUAUUGGCUUGGUAACACACAGCACAACAUUCAACUAGCAAAAAUAAACCUUAAUGAAGUGAACCUUACUGAACCUAUGAUCAAGUUUGUCUUCUUUUAUUUGAAGUUCAAGUUUGUCAUCUUUUAUUUGAAAAAUUUGGGUUUGGGACCAUAUUUGAGAAGUAAUUUCUCCUAAAUUAUGCAACUAGAUGUUAAUUUUUGUUAAUUAACUGCAUUGCACUGGAUAGGGCCAAAUAUGUCCAUUUGUUCAGAACAAGUGUGCACGUCUGAGCAGUGAUGAAAUACCCAAAGCGAAUUCACAUGGCUAAGCAUGUGCGACGAGGCCUGUUAAAUUGAAGUUUAAGAUUACUGUUUAUAUGAUGAUUACUGUUCAAUAUAAUUGUUUGAAUAAAUCUUUGCUGUCCUGUUA